CGAAAAGUCAUUUUGCCCUAUGAACUUGAAUUUGAACCUAUUUGUCCUUUUGAUUUAAAAAAAUGCACCAAUUUAACAAACAUUUGCCUAGUCAAUUAUUGUCAAAAUGAUUUUUAUUACUAUAUUAAUUGCUAUCAAAUAGCUUAAUUUUAUCAUUUCCAUUGCCUCAAUUUGCUGUCAAAUAUCUCAGCUUGCAACUUAAAUUGCAAACUUGCAUUUCCAAAUUUUGUCGUCAAAUUGAAUUUCUAGACUCGUUGUCAAACUAAAUUACAUUCAGGCACAAGCAAGCAAACCAAAAUAGUUUAUUUAAGUAACUUUACAAAAUAAGUACAUUUGCAUAUCAUAAGAUUCUUUUAUUCGUCUAAACAAAAUAGAUGUAUCUGCAUCUUUAUAUAAGUAACUUUACAUUAGUUAAGUUCAAUUACACAUUAACACUAAAGUCGAUUUUUGUUAAAUUGGUGCAAUUUUUUAA
rnacentral:misc_RNA from 1 species